CAAGUACUCCCUCCGUCCGAAAAAGCUUGUCCCUCAAAUGGAUGUAUCUAGCACCAAGUUAGUGCUAGAUACAUCCAUUUGAGGGACAAGCUUGGGACAAACUUUUUCGGACGGAGGGAGUAGUUG
rnacentral:pre_miRNA from 1 species